GUGCGUAACGCGUAUGCAACCUACCUUUAACAGCUGGAUAACACUGAGAAAUUGGUACUAAUACCCCAUAAUAUCAUAGAAGGCAUCUUUUAUGGUUGAAAAUUCCGAUGGUUAGAGAUGGGCAUGCGUUGUAUUAGCUAGUUGGUGGGGUAACGGCUCACCAAGGCGACGAUACAUAGGGGGACUGAGAGGUUAACCCCCCACACUGGUACUGAGACACGGACCAGACUCCUACGGGAGGCAGCAGUGAGGAAUAUUGGUCAAUGGACGCAAGUCUGAACCAGCCAUGCCGCGUGCAGGAUGACGGCUCUAUGAGUUGUAAACUGCUUUUGUACGAGGGUAAACGCAGAUACGUGUAUCUGUCUGAAAGUAUCGUACGAAUAAGGAUCGGCUAACUCCGUGCCAGCAGCCGCGGUAAUACGGAGGAUUCAAGCGUUAUCCGGAUUUAUUGGGUUUAAAGGGUGCGUAGGCGGUUUGAUAAGUUAGAGGUGAAAUUUCGGGGCUCAACCCUGAACGUGCCUCUAAUACUGUUGAGCUAGAGAGUAGUUGCGGUAGGCGGAAUGUAUGGUGUAGCGGUGAAAUGCUUAGAGAUCAUACAGAACACCGAUUGCGAAGGCAGCUUACCAAACUAUAUCUGACGUUGA
rnacentral:rRNA from 1 species